GUGGCCAUGGCUCCCAGGAUGCUCAGAUGGAUGAGAGACAUUCCUAUGAGAACAGGAUGAUGUACAUUCCUCUGCCUCAAAGACCCCUUGGUCAUGAUUCCAUAACCCUUGGGCCACAAGGUGGCCUUGUCCGAGGAAUGGCAUUCGGUAGUCAGCCAUCUACAUAUGCCUCUCGUAUGGCUGAGAUAUCAAGUCCUGGAGAUGAACACAGGGUGGGACCUGGUCUAAAUGGAUUCAGUUCUAUUCCAGAACCGGCAGCUUAUGGCCAAAGAGAGGAUCCCAUGCCAAGAUAUGUGUCAGAAAGUUUUGGUGCUCCAUCCAGCUAUGACCGAUUGGUGAAAGGAAUGUUACACAUGGGAAUAGAAACACCGACCGCAUUGAUGAAUCUCUGCCUGCUUCUCCACCUGCUCGUGGUUCCGCUCCUCCAACUAGCACAGAAAAUAUGUGGCCUGAAGAGCACUUGCAGGACAAAUCAAUGACCACUAUUAAAGACUUCUACUGGUUUUUAUGUGCCCCAGGUGUUAAAAGCCAUGAGGAGAAACAAGGAUAAAUGAUUUUCUGAUGUCUUAUACCUGGCUGCGAACAAUAAUAGAGACAUUGAGGAGGUCUCAGCUUCUAAUGUUUUCCCGAAGAAGGUUGAGGAGCGUUCUAUUCCGAUUGAAGAACUACUUGAGGCAGACGAAGUUUUCUGCACUGGGACCGCAGUUAGUGUUGCUCCUGUAGGAAGCAUUACAUACAAGGGUAACAGGUGAGUUUGAAAUCCAAAGGCUGCAGUGCGUUUCGAUCUUUUUGUAACUGACACUGUCCUGUUUCUUUGAACCCGAUAAGCUUUCGAGUACCUGGAUACCUGAGUCGGGUAUCAGGCCCCGAAAAAUCCGGUACCCAAA